rnacentral:rRNA from 1 species
UACGUAGGGACCGAGCGUUGUCCGGAAUCAUUGGGCGUAAAGAGCGUGUAGGCGGCUAUUUAAGUCCUGCGUGAAAUCCUGCGGCUCAACCGCAGACGGUCGUGGGAAACUGGAUGGCUAGAGUGCGGGAGAGGAGAGUGGAAUUCCCGGUGUAGCGGUGAAAUGCGCAGAUAUCAGGAGGAACACCAAUUGCGAAGGCAGCUCGCUGGGACGUUACUGACGCUGAGACGCGAAAGCGUGGGGAGCAAACAGG